UACGGAGGGUGCAAGCGUUGCUCGGAAUUAUUGGGCGUAAAGGGUAGGUAGGUGGUCUCAUUUGUCUGGGGUGAAAGCCUUGAGCUUAACUCAAGAAGUGCCCUAGAAACGGUGAGACUGGAGUCCUGGAGAGGGUCGUGGAAUUCCCGGUGUAGCGGUGAAAUGCGUAGAGAUCGGGAGGAACACCAGAGGCGAAAGCGGCGACCUGGACAGGUACUGACACUCAACUACGAAAGCGUGGGGGGCAAACAGG
rnacentral:rRNA from 1 species